rnacentral:rRNA from 1 species
GCUUGGGAAUAUGCCUUAUGGUGGGGAACAACAGUUGGAAACGACUGCUAAUACCGCAUAAUGUCUACGGACCAAAGGGAGGGAUCUUCGGACCUCUCGCCAUUUGAUUAGCCCAAGUGAGAUUAGCUAGUAGGUGAGGUAAUGGCUCACCUAGGCGACGAUCUCUAGCUGGUUUGAGAGGAUGAUCAGCCACACUGGGACUGAGACACGGCCCAGACUCCUACGGGAGGCAGCAGUGGGGAAUAUUGCACAAUGGGGGAAACCCUGAUGCAGCCAUGCCGCGUGUGUGAAGAAGGCCCU